rnacentral:misc_RNA from 1 species
ACGGCGCCAGCAAGACUCCCGCCAGCCCGGCCAGAGAAACACCAACGGCGAAAGUACCGGCAUAGACCCAAUCAACCGGGAUACCCAAUGAAGAGGUCAUUGACCUGUCGUAGGCAGCCGCACGGACCAUUGCUCCCAAACGUGUCCGAUAGGUUACAAAAGAAACGGCACAGAUGACCCCUACUCCAACCAGGAUCAGCAGCAG